rnacentral:rRNA from 1 species
UAGGGAAUUUUGCGCAAUGGGCGAAAGCCUGACGCAGCAACACCGCGUGUAGGAUGAAGGUCUUUGGAUUGUAAACUACUGUCAGCAGGGAAUAUAAUGACUGUACCUGCAAAGGAAGCAUCGGCUAACUACGUGCCAGCAGCCGCGGUAAGACGUAGGAUGCAAGCGUUGUCCGGAAUUAUUGGGCGUAAAGAGUUCGUAGGCGGUUGCCUAAGUCUGGUGUUAAAGCCCGGAGCUCAACUCCGGCAUGGCAUUGGAAACUGGGUAGCUAGAGUGUGUCAGAGGUAUCGGGAAUUCCUGGUGUAGCGGUGAAAUGCGUAGAUAUCAGGAGGAACACCGGUGGCGAAAGCGCGAUACUGGGGCAUAACUGACGCUGAGGAACGAAAGCCAGGGGAGCAAA